rnacentral:rRNA from 1 species
GAUGAACGCUAGCGGCAGGCCUAACACAUGCAAGUCGAGGGGUAGAACACUUCGGUGUUUGAGACCGGCGAACGGGUGCGUAACGCGUAUGCAAUCUACCUUGUACAGGGAAAUAGCCCAGAGAAAUUUGGAUUAAUGACCCAUAGUAUAUAACCUUCGCAUGUUGGUUAUAUUAAAGUUCUAACGGUACAAGAUGAGCAUGCGGCCCAUUAGUUAGUUGGUAAGGUAACGGCGUACCAAGACGAUGAUUGGUAGGGGUCCUGAGAGGGAGAUCGCCCACACUGGUACAGAGACACCGACCGUGCUCCUACAGGAGGCAGCAGUGUGGAAUAUUUGUCAAUGGGCGCAAGCCUGGACCAGCCAUGCCUCGUGCAGGAAGACGGUCCUAUGGAUUGUAAACUGCUUUUAUACAGGAAGAAACCUUCCCACGUGUGUGAGAUUGACGGUACUGUAGGAAUAAGGAUCGGCUAACUCCGUGCCAGCCGCCGCAGUAACAC